CGGAGUGGGUGAGAGUCCCGUACGUUUAAACUGCAUGUCCUUGAUUUGUUGGUGUCCCCAGUAGCAGCGAGCUUGUGGAAUUCGCUUGUAAUCUGCGGGACCACCCGGUAAGCCUAAAUACUUCCUGGUUACCCAUAGCGGA
rnacentral:rRNA from 1 species